CUCUCCUGUAUGAAUACGUUUGUGAACAUAAAAAUUACUAUUUUGAGAGAAUGAUUUACCACAGAUAUCACAAUAUAAUGGCUUCUCUCCUGUACGAAUACAUUUGUGUAUUGCUAAGACACUAUUUUCAGAGAAUGAUUUACCACUGAUCCCAAGGUGAUAUGGCU